UUGUGGUUAAAAAGCUCGUAGUUGGAUCUCGGCGGACUGAGGGCGGUUUGCUUGCUAGUAUUACUGCCCUAUAGUCCGUAGUUUUGCCAGAGGUUUCGGGGUGCUCUUAAUCGAGUGUCCCGGGAUGCUGGCAGGUUUACUUUGAAAAAAUUAGAGUGCUCAAAGCAGGCUAUUACGCCUGAAUAUUCGUGCAUGGAAUAAUAGAAUAGGAAGUCGUUUCUAUUUUGUUGGUUUUCGGAAAUCGACUUAAUGAUUAAUAGGGACAGUCGGGGGCAUUUGUAUUCAAACGACAGAGGUGAAAUUCUUGGACCGUUUGAAGACAAACUACUGCGAAAGCAUUUGCCAAGAAUGUUUUCAUUAAUCAAGAACGAAAGUUAAAGGUUCGAAGGCGAUUAGAUACCGCCCUAGUUUUAACCAUAAACGAUGCCAGCUAGCGAUCUGCGGACGUUUUUUUUGUAGACUCCGCGGGAAGCUUCCGGGAAACCAAAGCAUUUGGGUUCCAGGGGAAGUAUGGUUGCAAAGCUGAAACUUAAAGGAAUUGACGGAAGGGCACCACCAGGAGUGGAGCCUGUGGCUUAAAUUUGACUCAACACGGG
rnacentral:rRNA from 1 species